rnacentral:rRNA from 1 species
GUCUAUGGCUAUGCUACCCUGAACAAACCCUAUCCUGUCCUAUCUCAGAAGCUAAGCAGGAUCGGGCCUGGUUAGUACUUGGAUGGGAGACCACCUAGGAAGACCAAGUGCUAUAGGAA